UUCUGCAAAGCGCAGCAUUUCAGUGGACUGUCGGAAGCUCAUACCGAACGGACGUGUUUUGGGUUGGCUGCAGCCGAUCGUAUUGAAACGUCGCGAAGGGUAGGCUUAGUUCGAACUGUUUCCGCGUAAAAUAAUCCGUAGCCGUGAUUUUAUUUCGUUGCCGAAGUGUAAACCGCGGGAGUAAGCGGAUUCCAAUUUUUUCUGGGAUUGUUUGAUCGUCUUAACCGCAAAAUGAAUUGGAUUAACUCUCUCAGUUGCUACACGCUGUUGGUCGUCGGAUCUUCAUUGUUUCGCGCAUAUACCUGCGUACAUAUCACCAAUCUCGAAGUGCCAAGAACAUACAUACUCGAGCGGGAUGAAUUUCUCACUGCCUUUUCGUCCGAACACCGCCGCCAACACGAGCACUUUCAGGAUGAGCCGAACGGGUCAGCCGUCGUGACGGAGCCAACUUCAGGGACCAAUUUUACCGCAAGCAAUGAUAGUCAGACAAAUUAUAAUACCUCCACAGUGAAACCACUGAUAAUGGACUGCCAGUAUGAGAUUAAGGCUAAUGAGUGCGGCUUUGUGCUCAAGUGGUAUUUCAACCGGAAGCUGAUCUACCAGUGGAUACCGGCGCGUAACCCCGUAGGAAUGAACCAAUUCAAAAGCGAACUGCGUACCAACUACUCGAUGUCUGAAUCAGCUAACUACAAGUACCGUGCAUUGGUGAUACAGCAUCCAAAACUGAACCACAGUGGAGAAUACAUGUGUUCGGUGCAAACCUACGAGUCAUUCGAUCGGAAGGCAGCCCGUUUCCAAAUCGUCGUACCGGAGAAGAUGCUGCUGCUCCAUUACGAAAACGAUGCCGAGAAGGAGAACAUGCUGCUGAUCAAGUGUAGCGUUUUCAUGAUUUAUCCAGAACCUAAUCUGGUGCUUGUGGUAAGCGGAGACUUGCUGCUGGUAAGCUCCCGUACCAUAGUAGUAUCGGAUCGGCAUCACAUGUACAACAAAACGGUGUACGGACUUAUUGACAAGCAUCUACUCAUUUCGCCCACCUCCAUCGGAUGCAUUCUAACCGUGGCCGGUUCCAGCUAUGUGCGGAAGCGCGAAACAAUCUAUUACGCUUUUCUUGUGCAGAUUUCACCCAGCUGACAAAAUGGAGCCGAUUGAGGAUGGAUGAGCGGGGUCACUUUGAAAUUAGCGACUGCUCUGGUCAACUGAUUGUGCCAUCCACCGUGACAGUAGUUGUGUUAUAUUUGAUCUCUAUGGGACAAUUUUAUCUGUGAUUUUCAAAAUAGAAUUAAACAUUUUACCGAUGAAC